UGAGUUACACUCAAAUGAGGAAGUGAAGUGCACGAGCAGCCUAGCUAAGCGGUGUGGUUUCAUAUAGCCGUCCCACAACGGUUAAUUUUUUUUAUACUGAGACUCAAAACCAUGAUGAUAUAGAGGCACUUUUAAUUUCACGAUAUCGUGAAUAUUGUGAUAUCCCUAGUAUGUUGUCUUAAAUACAGUCCACAAUGGAAGCAAGAAGUCUGAGACACCUAUAACCACUGAUGUCACUCUUCUUCUAGACCAUCCCACCUUUCAAAAUCAGCUUGGGCCGUUAAUACCUUCACGGAGCAGUAUGCCGUUUCGGACGUUUGGCAGUUCCUCAACCCCAAGGACAGGCAGUUUUCUUUCUUUUUUUUUCCUGUGCAUGGUACCUUUUCUCAAAUCGACCUUCUGUAUAUCUCAUUGACAAUAGAUUAUCACUGUCUGUCUCUUCAUGCUCUUAUGGUCCAAUAGUUAUCACUGAUCAUGCAACAAUUUUUGUUGACAUAUCUCUCCCAGGCAGACCAUUGUUCCGAUUACCCUGGCACUUCAACCCUCUGCUGCUAAGUGAAUCAGACUUUAUAUGUCCCAUGAAUAAUCGUAUUGAAUUGUUUAUUUCAACCAAUGUGAGUGCAGAUGUGUCAGCAUCCACACUUUGGGUGGCAUACAAGGCUUUUCUCUGUGGGCAAGUAAUUUCCUAUUCUUCCUAUAAGAGAAAAACUACCAAUGAAAAGAAAGUUCUCCUGUUCAAAGGUAUUGCUGACUUGCAGGAUAAGUGUGGAGUUUUACCUGAUACUAGUCUACUAAAAGAAUUACUCAAAAUGAAUGCAGAAUUUGACCUCAUGGCAUCUGAAGAGGCAAUGACAGCAUUACUUAAAACACGCUCUAACGUUUAUGAGUCUGGUGACAAACCUGGCAAAAUUGCUUUCACAUCAAAUUUGUCGACUUUCUUUCUCCAAUCACAUUACACAGACAGAUACGGACGGGGUCUGGGAUAUCUUGUAUUCUACUUCAUCUUCUACCAUUCCAGAAGUGGUCAUCUCAAAGGGUUGCUGAGAAGGCGUUUGAUCGAAAUGAAUGGAACGAUCUUUUUUUUUUUUUUACAUUAAAAAUAUUUGGUUUGGGUUUCAAAUUUAUGUGCUGGAUCAAACUUCUGUACACGUCUCCUUUGUUGCCAGAGUUGGAACAAACAAUGACUGCUCAGAAUACUUCCCUCUUAGUUGUGGAACGUGUCAGGGUUGCCCACUUUCUCCCUUGAUGUUUAAUAUUGCCAUUGAACUACUGGCAUAAAGCCAUUAGGUCCAGUCAGAUGCUUUGUAUCAUAAGAGGAGGACAGGUACAUAAGCUGUCAUUGUGUACGGAUGAUAUCUUACUGUUCAUGUCUGACCCAAACAGAUACAUUCCACCGCUGAUGACCUUGCUGGACAAAUUUGGAGAAAUAUCAGGCUGUAAACUAAAUAUACAAAAGAGCAAAGCGGACUAAUACGCAAGCGCAUCGGCCUGAGGUUCCGCCUGUGUGCUUGGGACCUGCUUAAUGGAUAAAUCACAGGAGUGGACGAGACCAGGAAAAAAAACAUUCCGCCUCUUCUGAUAUGACCGGAGAAAAUUACAGAAGGACAAAGAACAGCAGUGCAGACGCUCAUCAGGAAUGACGCAACUGGGAAAGGACCGGAAGAAGAGGAUCAUUGAGAAGGUCUGGCAUGAAGCAACAACACCUGAGCUGCUUCGCAGUGUUUACACUGGAGUCCUACCCAUCCUCAAGGAAUACAUCAUGGUUUUCCAAGUGAGCUGAAAAUGAAAAUGUACUUUUUUUUUUGUUAAUCAAAGUUUUAUGUUGAAAAAAGGGUAUUUCCAGAUCAAUGAAUUAGUUAUGUCUUAUCUUUCCUAUAUUAACUACUGCUAUACCUCACCUGUUAGAUGCUUGUGUCAUCCCUCUUCCUCUUGUUCAGUC